rnacentral:lncRNA from 1 species
GCCAUGAGCGCAUGAUACGCCCGUCGUCUUGUGUGGAAGUUUUAUGCAAUAAUCAUAAAUAGUUUCUGAGAAAGUAUUAAGUAAUUACCAUUUAUUGCUUUUGAGACACGGCGGGACAUGUGAAACCCCCCACCCUGUUUUUUUUUUACAAAUAUCACUGAAAUAAAAUUUUGAAUCAAACAAAAAAGUAUACAGAUCUUUAGAUUAAUAUAACAAAGAAGUGUGUACAGUUUCAAGCAAUAAUCAUAAAUUGUUUUUGAGAUACGGCGCGACAUGUAAAAAAAACCCUACCCUUUUUUAACAAAAUACUCAAUAACUCAAAAAUAAAAUUUUGAGUCAUCACCAAAAAGUAUACAGAUCUUUAGAUUAAUAUAACAAAGAAGUGUGUAAAGUUUUAAGCAAUAAUCAUAAAUCGUUUUUGAGAUACAGCACGACAUGUAAAAACCCCCUCCCCCUUUUUUACAAAAUACUCAAAAACUCAAAAAUGAAAUUUUGAAUCAUCACCAAAAAGUAUACAGAUCUUAAGAUUAAUAUAACAAAGAAGUGUGUAAAGUUUUAAGCAAUAAUCAUAAAUUGUUUUUGAGAUACGGCGCGACUUGUAAAAAACCCUCCCCCUUUUUUACAAUAUACUCAAUAACUCAAAAAUGAAAUUUUGAAUCAUCACCAAAAAGUAUACAGAUAUUAACAUUAAUAUAACUGAGAAGUGUGUAAAGUUUUAAGCAAUAAUCAAGAAUCGUUUUAGAGAUACGGUGCGACAUGUGAAAAAAAACACACCCCUGUUUUAGUUACAAAGUGCCGUAACUCAAAAAGUUUAAAUCUUAUUUUCACCAAAAAGUAUACAGAUCAUUUGACCAUCAUAAAAAACAACUAUAUUAAGUUUCAUGAAAUUUAAAUAAGUCGUUCUCAAGUUACGGUGCGACAUGUUUACGCCGGACAGACAGACGGACGGACAGACAGACAGACGGACGGACACCGGACAUUUGUAUACCAUAAUACGUCCCGUCAAAAUUUUGACGGGCGUAUAAAAACUGUUGAUUGCACCCCAAGCUACAGGUAAUCUGUAACAUAUCAGGGGAGAUAAUCAACAUACAACAUCAAGUUAAAGGUAAUCUGUAUCAUAUCAGGGGAGAUAAUAUAC